CGUUGAGCUAUUUCGGCCGGGAAUACGUCGCGUUUCGCGGCGAGAGCGGACAGGUAUCGAUCCUCGAUGCGUUCUGCCCGCAUCUCGGCGC
rnacentral:tRNA from 1 species